GCGCUCGUAGCUCAACUGGAUAGAGCAUCCGCCUUCUAAGCGGACGGUUGUGGGUUCGAGUCCCGCCGGGCGCA
rnacentral:tRNA from 1 species